GAUUAACGCUAGCGGCAGGCAUAAUACAUGCAAGUUGAACGAGAUAAGUUUUAGCAAUAGAACUUUGAAAGUGGCGCACGGGUGCGUAACACGUAUGCAACCUACCUUUUACUGGGGAAUAGCCUCUCGAAAGAGAGAUUAAUACCCCAUAAUAUAUUGAUAAGGCAUCUUAUUAAUAUUAAAGUUACGGCGGUAAAAGAUGGGCAUGCGGCUGAUUAGGUAGUUGGUGAGGUAAUGGCUCAGCAAGCCGACGAUCAGUAGGGGGUCUGAGGGGAUUUCCCCCCAAAGUGGUACUGAGACACGGACCAGACUCCUACGGGAGGCAGCAGUAGGGAAAAUUGGACAAUGGGCGCAAGCCUGAUCCAGCCAUGCCGCGUGCAGGAUGAAGGCCCUAUGGGUCGUAAACUGCUUUUGUACGGGAAGAAACCUCACUACGUGUAGUGAGUUGACGGUACCGUGAGAAUAAGGAUCGGCUAACUUCGUGCCAGCCGCCGCCGUAA
rnacentral:rRNA from 1 species